rnacentral:ncRNA from 1 species
ACAACGGGAAUGAUGUUCUCCCCUGGCUUUGCCUAAACUGCUUUUAUGCUGAUGACGUCUACACUU